GACGUAGAGGACAGGGACGGUUGGGGGCGGCACGGUGUUUGGACCGUCGCCGACCCGCGACGGGCCGGGGCCGACCCCCAUACCGUGUAGCCUAAAAGAGUAUGCCAAAUUUUAACGAUAUAUUUUGUCUCUUGAAACUUGCAACACAUUACUUCCUAUAUAAUUUAAAGGAAGUGUUUGACUAUUUUGUAGUUUGGAAAAAAAACAAUAUUGACUUAUUUCCUAAUAUACAGAAGUAAUUUCUGGUGAUCCCAUUCAAUUAUUAGUCAUGGUUUUCAUGGACAAAAUAGAAAGAAGUUUAUGUGACAUCCUAAAAGGAAACUUAUUAUAUUUGUGGGACAGAGUAUGUUAAAGAAACAUGAAAGACGCUUAUGGGGCAUCCAAAAGAAGUUUGGCCCACCAUUGUGGAGGCAUAACUGCUGUUUUAAAUCUAGAUUUGAUGUGUUUAUUUUAAAAUUCUGUGUUAAUUGAUCUUAGAAAUGCAAGUUGGAUAUGGACUAAGGUGUAGUUGUGGAAUCCUCAAGCAAAGGAUCUCUAAAGAAGGACAAGAAGAGAAGUUAUGUUAGAAGAUUGGCUAAAGGUCUGAAAUACGCCUAUACUGUCAUUUAUUAUACCAAAGAUAUGAAAAAUGCAUCAGGUAGGUCCUCUAAACCAUUAUCCAUUACAUCGUUUCUCCGGUCUGGAUUUGAAUUCGACUCAUUUUUCGUGUUCAUUCUCAUAGCAAUACUGGUAGUAAUGGCAGUAAUGAUGAUGACGACCUGUCUUACAUCUUUAGUAAUCAUUCUUUGUUGGCAUAAACUGCCAAUUGUCACUCUUUUUUUCUUGCUAUUCUUUGUGUCAACAGAAUUACUUACUUAUCGACUUCUCUAACAGAUCAAAAAACGUAUGAUUUAAAAAGAAAAUGGGUCAAACAUGUCAAAGCCAUACAAUCUUUCUAAUAAUUUUAUUAAGAAAACAAAUCAUUAUUGAUGUGAUCUAUAUCCUAAUUUUCGUCUUUGUCAUAAAGGUUAGAUUUCGUCAAUGAAUCAACUAUCGUUCUUGAUUUUUAACUAAUAAUUUCUUUUGUUUUGUAUAUCUCAUCUGAAAUCGGUUAUAUCCCCUUAUCCGAUUGUUGUGGAUCCAGUCAAUCCGACAACCGUGUUAUGUAUUAGAUUAUAGCAGCCUAGGUCUAAUUUGUAGUUUGAAAUGAGUGUGCCUGAACUCUAUCUCAGUUUUAGGUAAUUCGGUUUCUUUCGAGUUUAAUAUGUGGUAGCAUAUUUGUUCUUCGCAUCUCUGUUAAGGAUUUGAAUCUUUUUCUUAAUUAAUACCAAUGUUGAUGUCUCUAUGUGUUUUCUCCAUUACAAAUCAAUGUUUGUUAAUAAGAAAAGAAUGGCAAUGAUGGAUCAUUCUACAAUUUGCAACCAUUAAAUACCCUAUGAUUGAUCUGUUCAAAGAUCCUUUGGUGUACGAUCAGAGGGUAAACCAUUUCGCUUAUACUAUUUACGUUCAUUCAAAGUUCCUUUGUGGCGUAUAAUUAGGGUUUGGUUCAUGAUAUGUUGUUUCUUGAACAUUUAAUCGUUGGUUUGAGCAUGAGUACUAAUAGGACUCUUAAAGAGUGUAGAAGAUAGAAAAUAGUAAGUUUUGGAUUUAUCAUAUUUUAAACUUUUGUUGUAUGAUUCCUGUAUAAAUAAGAAAAUAAGAGGGACUAAGGGGUUGUUUGGAUCUACUUUCAGGCUAAUUUAUUUACAAAAAUCACUUUGAGAACUCACAUCUAAACAACUCAAAUUUGUUAUAUGUCAUAUGUUCAUUAAUAUUGACUUUUGGAUUGAUUUCAGGUCGAUCUGCGCCACCGUUAUGUGCAUAAGUUGCACUUUUACCAUGAAGAGUGGUGUAAGGCUGAUGCAGCUCAACCUUUUUUCCUACUGGAUAUCACUCGGUGUUAUAUGGCUAGAAGAGAAGGUGAAAGUGAUGUCUCUGUGGACUUGACAAGAGGGCCUUUAAUCGCGCCAUCCUAUUCUCUACCAGAAUCCGAUCUUCCUUCAGCCGAUCUCCCUAAAAGUGUUACAAGUGGCACAGAGAUUGUAAAUACCGAUGAAAAAAGAUAACUCGGGCCUGAGCUGAUUUUGAUAUCAUAUGCCGAGUCACCUAACACCAAGGAUUCACUUGGAAAAACCAACACUUAGAUCGUUUCACCUGGAACAUUUAAGGCAACCAAAAGAAUGGGAAUAUGUGCAUGGGCUGGUAUGUUUUAGUUUUUUUCUUUAAAUCAACCGAAAUCGUGGUAUAAAGUUAUUAGCGACCCACUGCUUUGGAUUUAUUUGAGGGCCCACAAUGGACAAUCACAGCCAAAAUGUGUAAAAGGGGUAUGGUUACAUUUAGUUCACGCGUCAAAAGGACCAGGCUUUGUUGAAUGACUGUAUAAACUUGAAGAAAGUUGAUAAUUGUGAUAUAAAGAUACAACUCGCUUAUAUCAUUUUGUGAUCCGUUGUUAUUCCUUCUGACAUCAAGUUAAUAAGUUAAUGGGGCCUAUAAUUAUACCUUCACUCUUAUCAUAUAAAUAAUUUCCAUACAAAUUAUUGGACAAAAGGUAAAUAGAAAAUAUUUUCUUUAUACCAUAUUUCUUUAGUAAUUUUUAUUCCCCAAUGAAUGUGAAAGCUUUUCCGGUGCAGGUUGUUAUCUCGAUCUUGAAGUUUAGUGCAUGCAGCUUCUUUAUUUUGUUUAUUGUUGAUUAUUUAGAGUCAAAGUAAUCACAUAUGGAUAAUUUGGCCAGAAUACAUUAUCAUCGAUGCAAAUAGCGAGGUUAUGGCCCCGAAUAAUUACAUCGAGUUCAUUACGCGUCAAGAACAAGUUUAUCUCAAUGGGCCGUAUUGAUGAUGCAGUGACCAGAAUCUUACGCGUCAAAUUUACCAUGGGCCUGUUUGAGAACCCUCUUGCCGAUUACAGUAUGGUUAACGAGGUUGGAAGCCAGGCACACAGAGAAAUAGCAAGGGAGGCAGUGAGGUCACUAGUGUUGCUGAAAUCAUGUUUGUUAACUGUUUUAUAAGAGACUAGGAGUUGAUAUUUUAUGUUAUUCGUAAGCCAAUAUUGAAAUCCAAUGUGAUUGUGCAUAUCAAAAUAUAUCGUGUUUGUGUGUUUCAAA